GGGCUUGUGGUCUAGCGGUAUGACAUCUUCUUAGCAUUGCCGUUUAAUUGCUUUUCUGCAAUUGACGCUGCUGAGAUGGAGAAGGUUCCCGGUUCGACUCCGGGCUAGUCCA